GGCAGGAGUGAAGUGAAACAGGGUUCCUGUCUCUUUAAAAAGCGCUUUGCACGUCCUGAAAAAACAGAAAGCGCCUGCUCAGUGUUUCAGGAAUGGCAGAGUGAACUGUCUCACUCUCUCUCCCUCUCUCUCCCUCUCUCUCUCCCUCUCUCUCUCCCCCUCUCCGCCGGAUGUUUGCGGGGUUUUGCGGGUCUGCUCGCAGUGGGUUGUGCGCUGUAGUCGGGUGGAGGAUGUGGAGAUGUGGGGAUGUGGAGCUGUGUGUUUUGGGGGAAACAGAUGGCUUCUUUGCGCUGUGUUUUUCUCCUCGACUCGCGCUGAGCUGCUGACCUGCUAAAACUUGCCCCUUUUUUCUUUUUCUGGAUUUACUCUGGAUUUGUCUGGAUUUCUCCCGAAGUCGGAUAUUUUCCCCCCAGAUCCUUCCUGCGGUGUGUGCUGACAGCUGGGUCAUGCUUUUGGGUGGUGUGAGGGAUGGUGGUUGCACUGCGCUGCUUGCUGUCUGCAGUGCACACACACACACACACACACACACACUCACAUCACGCACACAUACAGGCACAUGAACACACACACACACACACACACGCACGCACGCACACACACACGCACACACACUCUCCCUCUCCCUCCCUCUCUCUCUCUCUCUCACACACACACACACACACUCACACACACACUAAUGGCGCUUGCAACAAAGUUGCGGAGCUGUAACUAAAAUCAGAGUCUGGAUGUUACACCUGUUCACGUUUGCGCGGCCAUUUUGGAUCUGGACAACACACAUGGAUCAGCUGAGCGGGGGCGUGUUCGCGGUGGCAUUACGGCUCUUUGCGUCCAAGGUCACACUGUAGCUGAUUCACGGAUCAUCCACGCACACGCGCUCACGCACAAACACGCACGGGGUCGCGCAUGGCCGCGUGUGCGUUACUGUGAUCGCGCCGCGGGGAUCCAAAAUGGAAGGGAAGAAAGUGAAGCAGACCCGGAGGUCCCGUACGCACCGGGAGCGCGUGCGGCGGCGGGAGACGCGCACAGAACCGAGUCCGGCUUCCUCCGGAUCCGAGCGCGAGCGCAGGGCCGCUGCUUCUGCCGCUUCUGCUGCCGCUUCCGCCGCUGCUCCUGUGAGCCAUAAGGGCAGGAAAUCCGCGUCCUCCUCCUCAACAACAUCAUCAACGUCAUCAUCAGCGUUUACAUCUUCAUCUCCCAUCAUCUCCUCCUCAGUGUUCCCCUCCAGAGGCUCGCGAGGAGCUCCACGCCGGAAGCGCCGCGUCUCGAGCUCUCAGGAUGAAGAUGAAGAAGAGGAGGACAUCAUUGACGGCUUCGCCAUCGCCAGCUUCUCCAGCCUGGAGGGUCUGCAGAAUCGCCUUCAAACUGAACGUCCACGUGUUACAGCGCACUGAAAAACGCUCGUCCUUGACACGUUUAAUGAAUUCGGUGAGAGCUGAGUGAGAAUUCCGACUCGUACUGAGCUUUUCUAAAAAACACAGAAACUUGUGGGCGUGUCAUGACUGCUACUGCUGUGGCUUGUGGGUGUGGCCUGUACAGCCGUUUCAUAC
ensembl:lncRNA